CACGACGGAUGAGGAGACCUCAUUCCCCCCUCGGACUCUUACUUGUAAGAGCUCCUCUACCGAGCUCUCAUCCGGCGACGGCGCCAACGGCCGGCCCUCCCGCGCCUCCACAGAGCUUUCCCCACCCAGGAAUUUCGAUUUUCAUCUCCGGUGGCCAUGGAUUUUCGAGGAGAGAGGGAAAACCUACCUGUUGCAAAUCCGGCGGCGGCCCGACGGCCGCCUGUCCCGGGGCUGUGGGCAUGGCGGCGCCCCACCUCGUAGCCGUGCCAGACGGGGCCGGUGGCACCCUGCCCCGAGGCCGUGCACGAGGAGGCUGGGGAGCCCCGCACAUGCGCCGGACUGGCAGCUCCCCCGCAGGAGGUAGAAAUGGAGAGCUGGAUCAAUCAACCUGCCAAUAUUUACUGUCAAUCAACCUGCCAAUAUUUCAUUGGGUCCCGUGGCCCUUUGUAAGCCAUGAAUCAUUAUGCUCAACUUUUGUGCCACUAGCAUCUGGGCCCAUAACUAGAGAUGGGCACAUUACUUGUACAAAAGUUGGUUGUAGCUUGCCAGGCGAUACACAACAAGAUAAUAAGGAGAUAGCAUAAUUUUGUUAGUCUUGUUUGGGUACUGCCUCCAAUUCCAAAUGUAGGUCAUUAAGGAUUCGGUCAGACUUCUUUAAACUUGACUCAUCAAUAUAUGAAAAGUUACAUGGA